rnacentral:rRNA from 1 species
GGUGACCUGCGGAGGAUCAUUACA